AACGAACGCUGGCGGCGUGCCUAACACAUGCAAGUCGUGCGAGAAAGUUUCCUUCGGGGAGCGAGUAAAGCGGCGCACGGGUGAGUAACACGUAGGUAACCUACCUUUCAGUCCGGAAUAACCAGCUGAAAAGCUGGCUAAUGCCGGGUAAGACCACGAUCUCUGCGGGGAUCGCGGCCAAAGGCGGCCUCUUCAUGAAAGCUGAUGCUGAGAGAUGGGCCUGCGUACCAUAGCUAGUUGGUGAGGUAACGGCUCACCAAGGCGACGAUCCGUAGCUGGUCUGAGAGGAUGAUCAGCCACACUGGAACUGAGACACGGUCCAGACUCCUACGGGAGGCAGCAGUGGGGAAUUUUGGACAAUGGGGCAACCCUGAUCCAGCCAUUCCGCGUGAGUGAAGAAGG
rnacentral:rRNA from 1 species